rnacentral:lncRNA from 1 species
GAGAGGUUAGCAGUUAUGCUUAAUUACAAGGAAAUAAGAUUUCUCUGGGGCUGCUGUGAGCGGGGGAAGCAGAUAUGAUCAGUCAAAGUGCUCCAAGAGCCUUGGAAGGCAGCCCCUCUGCAAAGACAGGGUUGGCCUUUAUUGUUACUGCUGUUAAUAAGCCAGAUGUUCUCAAAGCAUUCCUCCAACCGGUGACAGGGCUUGGGAAAUUGCUACCCCUUUAUUGGUUGCUGAAACCAAAUAAAAAUCAAAUUAAAGUUUAAUUCACCUCAUAAUUUUCUUCAUGGCAGCUCUGGUUGGCAGCCUUGAGGCAGAGCCAACCUCCUCCUCCUCCACAGCAUCCAUCACCCUCAGCCGAAGCCCCCAGAGGCCAGCUGCUCCUUAUACCUCUGCCAGAAGUCCUCUGUGGGUGCAGGCUGCAGCUGCAGAGAGAGUUGAGGCUCUGGCUAAGAUGAAAGGACUUUGGGAGCGGCAUGGGGGGAUGCCAGAAAGUCUUUCCCUCUUCUCCUCUCCUCUGGGGUCUCCAUGGUGACCGGGCAGGGGUCCGAUAGAUAUUCUAGUUAUGCGACUUGGGCCAAUCCUAUAUCCACCUCCCACAGGGUUCUUGACUCCACAUGCAGAGCGGGCUGAAGCCACUCCUGCUAUCCAGGCAGCGCCUGUCCUAACAAGGAUUCAAUCAAUAUCUCUUGCACUUAUGCGAAGAUUUUCCUAUGUUUCCCC